rnacentral:rRNA from 1 species
ACGGAAGGCAGCAGUGAGGAAUAUUGGUCAAUGGACGGAAGUCUGAACCAGCCAUGCCGCGUGCGGGAAUAAGGCCCUAUGGGUCGUAAACCGCUUUUGACGGGGAGCAAUAAGGCGUACGUGUACGUCGAUGAGAGUACAUCACGAAUAAGCAUCGGCUAACUCCGUGCCAGCAGCCGCGGUAAUACGGAGGAUGCAAGCGUUAUCCGGAUUUAUUGGGUUUAAAGGGUGCGUAGGCUGUGCGACAAGUCAGGGGUGAAAGCCCGCCGCCCAACGGUGGAACUGCCUUUGAUACUGUCGCGCUGGAAUACGGAUGCCGUGGGAGGAAUGAGUAGUGUAGCGGUGAAAUGCAUAGAUAUUACUCAGAACACCGAUUGCGAAGGCAUCUCACGAAUCCGUCAUUGACGCUGAGGCACGAAAGCGUGGGGAUCAAACAGGAUUAGAUACCCUGGUA